rnacentral:rRNA from 1 species
UACUUUGCUGACGAGCGGCGGACGGGUGAGUAAUGCUUGGGAACAUGCCUUAAGGUGGGGGACAACAGUUGGAAACGACUGCUAAUACCGCAUAACGUCUACGGACCAAAGGGGGCUUCGGCUCUCGCCUUUAGAUUGGCCCAAGUGGGAUUAGCUAGUUGGUGAGGUAAUGGCUCACCAAGGCAACGAUCCCUAGCUGGUUUGAGAGGAUGAUCAGCCACACUGGAACUGAGACACGGUCCAGACUCCUACGGGAGGCACCANUGGGGAAUAUUGCACAAUGGGCGAAAGCCUGAUGCANCCAUGCCGCGUGUGUGAAAAAGGCCUUCGGGUUGUAAAGCACUUUCAGUCAGGAGGAAAGGUUAACGGUUAAUACCCGUUAGCUGUGACGUUACUGACAGAANAAGCACCGGCUAACUCCGUGCCAGCAGCCCNAGGUANUACGGAGGGUGCNAGCGUUAAUCCGCAAUUACUUGGGCNNUAAAGCGUUCCGCAAGCCGGUUUGUCCUUGGGGGGAGCCAAA